rnacentral:rRNA from 1 species
CACGUAGGGCGCAAGCGUUGUCCGGAAUUAUUGGGCGUAAAGAGCUCGUAGGUGGUUUGUUACGUCUGCUGUGAAAUCCUAGGGCUUAACCCUGGGCUUGCAGUGGAUACGGGCAGACUAGAGGUAGGUAGGGGAGAAUGGAAUUCCCGGUGUAGCGGUGAAAUGCGCAGAUAUCGGGAAGAACACCGGUGGCGAAGGCGGCAUCCUGGACCAACACUGACACUGAGGAGCGAAAGCCAGGGGAGCAAACGGG